rnacentral:lncRNA from 1 species
AUUUUUUAUUUUUAUUUUAAUAAAACAUCUUUAAUAUUUAUAUUUAUCUUUUUGAUUUGUUAUCAUUAUAAUACUAUUUAUUUUUUAAUAGUAUAUAAAUAAAAUAAUUUUUUUAUCCUUAUAAAUAUAUUUUUUAAAAAAUCUCAAUUGUUAGAAUUAUACAGAAAUAUCCUCACAAAAAAUAUUUUGCUCAAUAAUAUAAAAGGAUAAAAAAGUCAAUUUAACUCAUUCAUUAAUCAAAUUUAAAUAUUUUACUUAUAGUUAAUUAUAUUUUUCUAAUGAAUCCUAACAUGAGUAAUAUAUUUGAAAAUAUUAAAAUUUUUGUAUGAAUAAAAAUAAAAAGUUAAACUUUAUAAAAAUAUGUCUGUCAUUCGAUAUGUUUAUAGGGGAGCUUUAUGCAAUUAA